rnacentral:rRNA from 1 species
UUACCAGACUCCUACGGGAGGCAGCAGUGAGGAAUAUUGGUCAAUGGUCGGGAGACUGAACCAGCCAAGCCGCGUGAGGGAUGAAGGUACAGAGUAUCGUAAACCUCUUUUGUCAGGGAACAAAGGCGGGGACGUGUCCCCGGAUGAGUGUACCUGAAGAAAAAGCAUCGGCUAACUCCGUGCCAGCAGCCGCGGUAAUACGGAGGAUGCGAGCGUUAUCCGGAUUUAUUGGGUUUAAAGGGUGCGUAGGCGGGUUAUCAAGUCAGCGGUAAAAUCGUGGAGCUCAACUCCAUCCAGCCGUUGAAACUGAUGAUCUUGAGUGGGCGAGAAGUAUGCGGAAUGCGUGGUGUAGCGGUGAAAUGCAUAGAUAUCGAGAGGAGCACUCGUGGCGAAGGCGGGUUCCUGGACAUUAACUGACGCUGAGGCACGAAGGCCAGGGGAGCGAAAGGGAUUAGAUACCCCCGUAAG